rnacentral:lncRNA from 1 species
UUUUUUUUUUUAGUUUUUCUUUUAGAACUCGUAGUAGAAAUAGUCUAGGUAAAAAAACGAAAAUUGACAAAAAAUUUAGAAAAAGUUCAGACUUUUCCCGACGAUGGAUCUUUUGGACAAUUUUCUUGAGGGAUAAAGUCCGAUUAAAAAUACCAAAAAGAUUUUUUUUAGGAUAGUUAGGUAGUAUCCUUCGGUUUUUCUUUAGGCACUAGUUUUUUUCCAAGAGUGUAGCUCGAACCGGGUACUUUAAUUUUUUUUAGGAGUAGUUUGGGAAGAAACUGAGUCGCUCCGAGAUCCUCAUUGACAUGGGUGAUGCUGGUACAUUAGGCUAUGACAUACAUUUCUGUUUUCCCCGUGUAUUUGGUUUGAAUUGUGAAGCCUAAGUAAAGUAAAUAGCCUAUUUUGUGACGCAUUUUCUCAUUUGUUUGACUCGUAUGCCUCAUAGUAUAAUAUUGUUUAAAUUUCUCAAUUAUGUGUGCUUGCUUGACUUGAGAGUUGAACAGAACCGUCUUGAUUGAGUCAUGUGCAACGUGUGUGUGAGGAUUUGUGCUUUUUUGUGCUAUCCUGUAUAGUCUAGAACUUGCCCCAUGUGUUAAUUGAAGCGAAAUUGUAAGUUGUGCUAAUCUAGGAGAUGACGUAGGCAUUUUCUUGUUUGAUCAUGAAUGUGCUUGUUACAAAAAAAUAAAAUUUUCUGUUGCUAGCUCCUUUGAGCCUAUAGACCUUUCUUUUGGAACCCACAUUACAAGCCAUGCUCCUAUUUUGUUCUUAAUUUGAUAUUGAUUGAACCUUUACCUCCUAAGGCACUUAGUCACUAAAAUAAAUAAGGUUAGAGAUUGGGGAGUAACUUUUGAGUGGAACCAUGGAAGGGCCCGUUGGUGCACUAAAGUUGAAAUCAAAAGUCACUAACCGAUGAACUUUAAUGUAUGGAGUGUAUGAAGAAAAGAAAAAAAAGAAAGGAAAAGAAGAAUUGCAAGAAAAGAGGAAAAAAAUGAUAGCUCAAAUAAUGUAGAAAAACACACACCUCCAAUUCUUAUUGAUUUGUGCUAGUGGAAAUAUAGAAGUGCUUAAUUGAAAAGAGGGCUAUGUUGCAUAUGGUUUGGGGCAAGUGAAUUGGUUGAGAAGAAUAUGUGCUUGAAUUGUGAAUGUAGUGUAUUAAAGUGCUUAGGAGGGAUAGUCACUAUUUCUAAUUGUACCAUACCUAUCCCUUAGCCUACAUUACAACCUUAAAGUCCUAAUNNNNNNNNNNNNNNNNNNNNNNNNNGUGAGCGAAUUGUUCAAUUGUGCGAUGUCCUUAAUCUAUAUUCAAAAGUAUAUUUGAAUGUGUGGACUGCUAUAUUCACUCUUUUGUUUGUUGGUAAGGGCACAUGAUCUCAUGAAUGAUUGGUAAUGUUGUAAACUUUCGUGUUGGGUAAGUGCAUGAAUUGAGGGUGCUUAGUGGUUGCAAGUCGACUUUUGAGGUUGGGUGGUGACAAAUAGGUUGUUGAAAUUGAUUGAAUUGAAGGGUUAUAUUUGGGCAUGCUUAAACAGGAAGAAUGUGAAAUUUUGUGUGUUCAUGCUUGUGUGUCGGUAUUGAUCAUAGUCAAGGGUAUAGUGUGUGGGGAAAAGUUAAAGUGCUCCUCUAUAAUUGAUAUUUGUACGUAGUUGGAGGUUUAUUAGAUAGUCCCAUUGCUCGAGGACGAGCAAGAGUCUAAGUAUGGGGUGUUGAUGUUUAGCUUAAAGUAUAUAUAUUUUUAUGUAUAUCGCCUCAUAUUUACUUUUGUUUGGUGAAUUUGGGAUGUUAAAUGCUAUGAUUUAUAUUAAUUUGAAGUGCUUUUACUUGUAGGAAUGAUUCGGGAGCAACUGGGGGCAAAACGCGCAAGAUUUGAGCUAAAACGAACAAAACCGAAAAAAGGUCAUUUGGGCACCACAGGCAGCACCUGGCGCCACCUGUGGCGCUGAAAACAGUGUGUGCAUUUUGGGCAGCGCCCUGGUGGGCGCCUGGCGCUACCCAGGGCGCCGGUGACGUGAUUUUGUCCAAUUUCGCCCGGGACAAGGUUAUUCCGGCCCUAGACUUACCCAACACAUAUAAAAGCAAAACUAAACAUAUUUUUGGAGAAAAAAGACGCCACUUUGGAGAUAUCUAACACACUUUGAAAGAGAAUUCACGUGGAGGAACACACACCACGCUUGGAGAAGGCUUCUAACUAGUUUUUCUUCUCUUCUCUUCUUUUAAUCUCAUAGUUUAUUAGCUCUAGAGUUUUGGGUGCUACAUGAACGUCGUAGUUUGAAGCUUGAAUUGUUCUUAUUAUUUUAUCAUAUUGGCUUAUUUAUUCAAUCUUGCGUUUAAUUAUUUGAUUGCUUGAUCACCAACUAAAUACUAUCUACGAAUCUAGGAUUGAACUCGGAGAGGAAAUUCUAGAUUACAUAUAAGAUUGAGUAGAGCAAGAUCUUAUCUCUGAGGGGGAGCGGAUUUGCGGUUAGUAUAGGAAUAUACCCAAUCGCCUUGCUUGGUUACUAUACAUGAAUUAUUAAUGUGUUCUUGUUAAUCUUAAUUCCAUAGCAAUAUAGGCGUUAGGUUAGCUUGAAUAGGCAUGUUGUACUUCAGGAGAAGGCUACGAGCAAUAUUAACUCUGUCAACCAAUAAACCAGAUAAAUUAAUUAGACGAUUUAAGUGAAAAACUCAACGGGAUUGUUAGCUAACCCAUAACUCUAGAAUAUUCACUCACAUUGACUUCGUCUCUAUAAUUUGCCAACUUGUUUUCUUUAAUCUCUUAAUUUGUUAUUCUAGAUUAAUUUUAGUUAAAUAUUCAUACGUUAGGAUUCGCUUGAAUAGAUUAAUUGUCUUAGUUUAAUUUAGUUGAUAGUAAUCACAAGUCCCUGUGGGUGCGAUAUCUGGACUUAUAAUCCUAUAUUACUUGUCGACCACGUAUACUUGCAUGUGCGUUUGGGAGCAACAAUAUAUUUAUGAAUUCUUUGAUGAUCGUACAAUGUAUGGUAAGGGGAGUUUAUAUAAGGGUACAAUAUGUAAUUGCUUUCCCCCACUUAAUUCUUGCUCGUUACUAAUAUUAUUUACAUUAAUAAUUGCCUGUUACUUGAAUUAUUCGUAACGGUUAUGGUAAUAAUAGACAAUCACGUAUAAUCAGGGAUUAUACUGAUUCAUUUUCCUUAUUCGCAACUAUUAAUUAAUCUUCCUCUUUUGCAGUCUUCAAUCAUGCAUCCCAUGCCUAUCUCUUUUUUUGUCACUUGUCAGAUACGAUAUCUUUAUAAAUAAUCCCGUAGGUGUUUUACCCACACCUCAUCAUUCUUCUUUAUUGCUCCAAUUCAAAUGCCCAUGUCAAUUUAUCAUUAAUCCACGUGUCAUAUCUAUUUUUUCACCAAUACAAUAGAUAACUUACCCUGAUGUAAGCAUUCGUGGUUGCUUUCACGGUUUGAACCCCGUGACCGAUAGGUCAUACGAAGACAACUUUACGGUUGCUCCAAGGCUCCUCCUAUCUCAUGUUAAUUAUCCGGGGCAUUAAAUAAAAAUUAUUUAUGCGGCGAAUAAUAAAGAAGGGAUUGUUGGAGACUUCUGACUAUGAAAAAUGCUUAGAGCAUGUGUGCGUGGAAAAGGAAAUGUAGGUUAAUUAACUAAUAUCAUUAGCAAUCAGCUAACAGUCAAUGUGAAACAGAUGAGAAGUGUUAAUUAUGUCUCUUAUCAAUCAUCAUCAAACGAAUUGACUUGGUCUUUAUUUGAAGUUGAUCAAAUUUUUAAUAUAUUAAAAUAUUAUGCCUAAGUUGGAAGCAACCUCCACUUCCACUUCCAACCGAGAGGUUGUGAGUUCGAGUCUCCCCAAGAGCAAGGUGGGAAGUUCUUGGAGGGAAGGAUGUCGGGGAACUAUUUUGGAAACAGUCUCUCUACCCUAGGGUAGGGGUAAGGUCUACGUACACACUACCCUCCCUGACCCCACUAAGUGGGAUUAUACUGGGUUGUUAUUGUUGUUGUUGUUGGAAAUAAACUAAACUCUCCGACCAACUUAUGAAGGUAGAGAAGUUAUUUCCGAAAAACCUCUGACUUAAAAAACAAUAAACUUUCAAUACUUUUAUUUUCAAGUUACUAAUAUAUACGUUCUUGUUCCACAUUAUUCUAUUCCGCAUAAAAUAAUGCAUAGAUUCCCACAUAAUUUAAUGUGAGUAUUGCUUAAUAUUGCAGCUGAAUGAUGCAUUAGUUGAGAACUUAUUACGCAGCCAACCAAAUAUUGCAUUAGUUAUGCAGGGAUUACUUUUUCUAAUCUUAUAAGUAAACAUUGUAUUAUAAUUUUAUUAUGAGAUUGUUUUAUCAAAUCCAUCCAACCAAAUGACCCACUAAUGAUUCUAAGUAUCUGGGCUGAUCUACAUAAUAUAAUGUCCAAGACAAGGCAAAGAACAAGAUCAUAUGGUAACAAAAAAAGAACCUUUAACUUGGAUCAAUUAAGAAGAAAGUUUAGAGCUUAAUUACCAUAUGUAACUAUAGUUUGCCUAAUUAUCAUUCGUGACUAUUGUUCAAUUGUUAUGAGCUUGUAUCAUUUGUAUUCAUUUGCUUUAAAUGGUUGUAUCAACCCAUACAAUACACUAAAAUAGUAAUACGUACAGUUACUUACUGUAUCACUAUAUGUGCCUUCAAUUCGCUCUGAAUGACUAUAUCAACGCAUACAAUAAACUGAAAUAUAGUGAUCUAUAUGUAUCAUUGUAGGUGACUCCAUAUACUGUAUACAUUGUAUUUACUGUUGGGAUUUUGCUACAAAAUACAAAGAGUAACUACAAAUUAUAAUUAUUUCAAAGUGUAUUUAUACGAAAAAUACAAUGUAUACCUAAUCGCCUUGCUUGGUUACUAUACAGAAAUUAUUAAUGCGUUCUUGUUAAUCCUAAUUCCACAGAAAUAUAGGCAUUAGGUUAGCUUGAAUAGGCGAGUUGUACUUCGGGAGAAGGCUACGAGUUAUAUUAUGAAAUCUGCCACACCAAGGAGACUACCCACUUGAAGGCCAAGAGUGCAAGAUGUGAUACCUAUUGCUUGGUUCAUUUAUUUUUAUACCACCACCCCAGGAAUGUGAUAGAAAAAUUGAUGCAAAAUUGGGGGCGCAAUUUAUAUCCUCAAAGUUGAAGGAAAAGUGGUGAAAGUGAUAGCGUCGUGCCACGACGUUAAAUCAAGCGCUUGUUGGGAGGCAACCCAGCUUGUAUUUUAAUUUUUUUUAUUUUUUAUUUUUUAUAUAGUGUCAAGUUUCGUGUUGUUUUUGUUUUGCAGAGUAGGGGAAGUCUGAGUACCCGAAGUUGAAUCUAAGGAGCAUGUUUGAGCUUAAAGGUGUGAGGUCGUCCCGACCCUUAAGAUUGAGGAUCAUGUCCGAGCUAGGCCCGAGAGGGUCUCAGGGAGUAUUUCUCACCUUUGUUGUAUUAUUUACUGUAUCAUUGUAGGUGACUCCAUAUACUGUAUACAUUGUAUUUACUGUUGGGAUUUUGCUACAAAAUACAAAGAGUACCUACAAAUUGUAAUUAUUUCAAAGUGUAUUUAUACGGAAAAUACAAUGUAUAAAUUAGUUACAUCAUGUAAUUUUUCCAUCAAUUAAAGGUGGAGUUUAAAUUUUUGUUCAAAUCUAAGGCUACUUUUUUCCUCUUGGCUGGCAGUUUUAGCUGUUCAAACAUGAAGACUUCUGACUAUGAAAAAUGCUAGAGCAUGUGUGUAUGGAAAGGGAAAGGUAGCUUAAUUAACUAAUAUCAUAAGCAAUUAGCUAAUAGCCAAUGGGAAACAGAUGAGAAGUGUUAAUUGUGUCUCUUAUCAUCAAAUAAAUUGACUUAGUCUUUAUUUGAAGUUGAUCAAAAUUCAAAUCUUCAAUAUUAAAUAUAUUAUGCCUAAGUUGGAAAUAAAUUAAACUCCCCACAGCUAACUUACACAUCGAAAAUCUAAAAUGUUAAUCGUAUAGCGUAGAAGUAAGGAUUUUUGGCAAGCAAUAAGACUUAAAUAAUACAAUUUAAGUGUAGCAUCUUCUUUCUCAUUUCGAGGAAAAGAUGCAGGAAGAAAAGGAAACAACAGAGUGAUCCAAAUCAGACCUAAAUGCCAAUGAUAUGAAGAGUUCCAUUCAAAACCGAACAUUAAAGGCGUUAUGACGAUAUACAAGAGAAAUACUGUUGUGGAGGAAAAGAUCUGUUUAUGAUAUAGUUCAAGAAAGAAUCGCCUCAUUUCCUUCAUUCUUAUUUAUUCACUUCAAGACUGGUUCUGAACGCCGAGUAAUUCCACAUCUAAGACUACCAAAAAUCCAUAUGCUACCUUUUCAAUGGUCAUGCAAGAAGUCUCAUCCAACAACACUUUCAAUAAUGUACAUUUCUCCAUUGAUAUAUGCAAUUAGCACACAAGCUCUUCUCAAUUUUACAACAACAUGCAUCUCUGCCCAAUAUUUACAGAAAUAUGAAGAAAGGCGAAGACAUCAACCUAUUUAGAAGUCAUCUCUCAAAACCAAGUUGUGUACAAUCUGGCUUGAAACUGCCACACUUCGCGUCCCCAGGAGUAGCACAAAAAGAGAAGCAUCUCAGGUGGAUGCCUUAAGAUGCUUAGAUCCAUGCUCUGGUGUCAGAUUUUCAGCUGCAGCACGUUUCAGUCUCAACUGCAAUACCAAGAACAUUCAGAACCAUGAAGGAAUAGAACACAUUUCACAAACAGAAAGAGGUAAGAAAAUACCCCUCUACCAUAUGAUAUAUCUUAA